GCCCAGAUAGCUCAGUUUGGUAGAGCAAUGGACUGAAAAUCCAUGUGUCGCUGGUUCAAAUCCUGCUCUGGGCACCA
rnacentral:tRNA from 2 species